rnacentral:ncRNA from 1 species
UGAUUUUAAUUCUAGGUUCAAUUAUAAUUCUUUUUUUAUGAAUGGAGAACAAAAUAAAUUAUGUUAAACCAAUAUAAAAAUUUUUUAACAAAUAAAAUUUGUAAAAGGAAAGGAAAUAAACUGUUAAAUUAAAGUGCCAGCAAUCGCGGUUAAACUUAAAGAAAAUAUAAUAAAUCGGAAAAUGUAGUUAUAAGAAAGUAUAGAAAACUAAAAAUAAAUAUAUAAUAGGUGCAAUUAAAACUCUUAAAAAAAAUUCAAAAAAUUUUAGAACCUACAAAAACUUUUAGAAAAGAAAAGGAUUUGAUACCCUUGUAUGAAAGUAUAAAAAUUUAUCCAGGGUAAUAAUAAUAAAGAUUAUAAACUCAAAGAAUAUGGCAGCAUAAAUAAAAUUUAGGGAUACUUGAUACUUUAAAUUAUGAUAAUCCACAAUAUACCUUACUUUCUAAAGUAGUAAGCCACUAUAUCUCCGUUUAAGAAAAUAAUAAAAGUUAUAAAUUGUUAACCAAAAUUUUUUAAAUUAUUUAAAUAAAAGUAAUUCAGGUCGAGACAGGGUUUAGAAAGAACUAUUGAGUAUCAUUUUUAUAAAAGAAUAACAAAAAAUUUAAAAUUUUGGAAUUAGAGAACUUAAAAGUAAAUUUUUUUAAAAAAAAAAAUUGAAUAAUUAUAUUUAUGUGUACAAAUCGCCCGACACUCUUGAUCAAAAUUAAGAUAAGUCGAAACAAAGUAAGUGUAUUGGAAGAUGUACUUAGAUUAUA